rnacentral:rRNA from 1 species
UUUAAAGAGAGUUUGAUCCUGGCUCAGGACGAACGCUGGCGGCGUGCCUAAUACAUGCAAGUCGAACGAACGGAGGAAGAGCUUGCUCUUCCAAAGUUAGUGGCGGACGGGUGAGUAACACGUGGGCAACCUGCCUGUAAGUUGGGGAUAACUCCGGGAAACCGGGGCUAAUACCGAAUGAUAAAGUGUGGCGCAUGCCACGCUUUUGAAAGAUGGUUUCGGCUAUCGCUUACAGAUGGGCCCGCGGUGCAUUAGCUAGUUGGUAGGGUAAUGGCCUACCAAGGCAACGAUGCAUAGCCGACCUGAGAGGGUGAUCGGCCACACUGGGACUGAGACACGGCCCAGACUCCUACGGGAGGCAGCAGUAGGGAAUCUUCCGCAAUGGACGAAAGUCUGACGGAGCAACGCCGCGUGUAUGAAGAAGGUUUUCGGAUCGUAAAGUACUGU